rfam:Oribacterium sp. ACB1 genomic scaffold acqcx-supercont2.1, whole genome shotgun sequence.
UCCGGUGUUGAUGCGUUUAGGGGAAACACCCGUUCCCAUCCCGAACACGACGGUUAAGACUUAAACGGCCGAAAAUACUUUGCUGGUAACGGCACGGGAAGAUAGGUGGGUGCCGGAC